CAGGCCCCUAUCCCGUCUCCAAAGGUGCCUUCAUCCACACCUGCCCUUCCCACACUGCAGGUGUCACCAGAGAAGACGCUGUACCCUCCAGGCCUGCCUCUGCCCAUCUCUUCAGCCUCCUUGCCCUGCCUUCACCCGACGGAUCCAAGUCAAGCUAUGGGAACCCAAAGCAGGCUGAGCCCAGGCACGUUCCAGAAGGCCUAUGGAAUGGGAUGAAAGAAUUCAUCAGCGCCCACUGCAUACCAACAUGAUAAUAGCAUUGUCUUUUCUCUAUUUUUAAAGAAACUCUGUCUCUCACAGGAAAUAUACAAAAAUGCAAAAAAAAAUUAAGAAAAGAUGAAAAAUAAAUAACUCAUAAA
rnacentral:lncRNA from 1 species